rnacentral:rRNA from 1 species
UGCAGAGGUCUCGAGCGUUAGGCGGAAUCACUGGGCUUAAAGCGUGUGUAGGUGGAUCGUUAAGUACCUUGUGAAAUCCCCACGGCUUAACCGUGGAACUGCUUGGUAUACUGGCGGUCUUGAGCCAGCUAGGGGCUACCGGAACAAAUGGUGGAGCGGUGAAAUGCGUAGAUAUCAUUUGGAACGCCAAUGGGUGAAAACAGGUAGCUGGGGCUGUGCUGACAC